rnacentral:rRNA from 1 species
AUACGGAGGAUGCAAGCGUUAUCCGGAUUUAUUGGGUUUAAAGGGUGCGUAGGUGGUUUGCUAAGCGGGAGGUGAAAUGCCGGCGCUCAACGUCGGAAGUGCCUCCCGAACUGGUGGACUGGAAUGACUCUGCCGUGGGAGGAAUGUGUAGUGUAGCGGUGAAAUGCUUAGAGAUUACACAGAACACCGAUUGCGAAGGCAUCUCACGAAGGGUUGAUUGACGCUGAGGCACGAAAGCGUGGGGAUCAAACAGGAUUAGAUACCCUGGUAGUCCACGCAGUAAACGAUGAUGGCUAACCGCUGGUUUAUUCGGAUCAGUGGCCAAGCGAAGGCGAUAAGCCAUCCACCUGGGGAGUACGACCGCAAGGUUGAAACUCAAAUGAAUUGACGGGG